AACCAGCUCUUCAAGUGGUCGGGAAUAUUAUUGGGCUUAAAGUGUCCGUAGCCGGUUUGAUAAGUUCCUGGUAAAAUCUGGUCGCUUAACGGCCAGUAGGCUAGGAAUACUAUCUUACUAGAGGGCGGGAAAGGUCUGAGGUACUCCAGGGGUAGCGGUGAAAUGCUAUAAUCCUUGGGGGACCACCAGUGGCGAAGGCGUCAGACUGGAACGCGCCUGACGGUGAGGGACGAAAGCCAGGGGAGCGAACGGGAUUAGAUACCCCGGUAGUCCUGGCCGUAAACGAUGCGUGCUAGGUGUUGGUAGGGCUAUGAGCUGUAUCAGUGCCGUAGGGAAACUGUUAAGCGCGCCGCCUGGGAAGUACGCUCGCAAGGGUGAAACUUAAAGGAAUUGGCGGGGGAGCACCACAAGGGGUGAAGCCUGCGGUUC
rnacentral:rRNA from 1 species